rnacentral:tRNA from 1 species
GCCGGAGUGGUGGAAGCGGUAGACACGGCGAGCUUAAACCUCGUUGCCUCCACGGAGGCGUGCGGGUUCAAGUCCCGCCUCCGGCACGA